UACAGAGGUCCCAAGCGUUGUUCGGAUUUACUGGGCGUAAAGGGUGCGUAGGUGGUCGGGUAAGUCUGAUGUGAAAUCUCCGAGCUCAACUCGGAAAUGGCAUUGGAUACUAUUCGGCUGGAGGGUUGGAGGGGGGACUGGAAUACUUGGUGUAGCAGUGAAAUGCGUAGAUAUCAAGUGGAACACCAGUGGCGAAGGCGAGUCCCUGGACAACUCCUGACACUGAGGCACGAAAGCUAGGGGAGCAAACAGG
rnacentral:rRNA from 1 species